UACGUAGGGUGCGAGCGUUGUCCGGAAUUAUUGGGCGUAAAGGGCUCGUAGGCGGUUUGUCGCGUCGGGGGUGAAAUCCACUGGCUUAACUGGUGGCUUGCUUUCGAUACUGGCAGACUGGAGGUAUGCAGGGGAGAACGGAAUUCCUGGUGUAGCGGUGAAAUGCGCAGAUAUCAGGAGGAACACCGGUGGCGAAGGCGGUUCUCUGGGCAUGUCCUGACGCUGAGGAGCGAAAGUGUGGGGAGCGAACAGG
rnacentral:rRNA from 1 species